GCACCGCAGCUCACGAGCUUUAUUUACUUACUUCUUAAGGAAAGCAGACAAAGCUCUGACAAACUCCUGUUGGUUGACAUCUUUCACAGUGACACUGGGCAUCUACGGGACAAAAUGGAGACGAGGAUCCCCCAGAAACACUGGCAGAUAAGAAUGGAAAGCAAGAGGAAGAGCCAGAGAAUUUUUCUCGAGAAGGGCUGCUGUCAGCAGGAAAGGAGAAAGCACCUGAAUGAGGACGACACCACCG